AAGUCGUAACAAGGUUUCCGUAGGUGAACCUGCGGAAGGAUCAUUCUUUAAUAGAGUGGAAACACUUGAACUGUGAAUUUGUCUUUCAUGGCUAGUUCUUUGGAGUUAGCCAGCUGGCAGCAAUGUCAGAGAAUAUACAUUCCACCUUUAUUCUAAUUUAAAUUUAUAAACUUUUAACAAUGGAUCUCUUGGCUCUU
rnacentral:misc_RNA from 1 species